AUUGUGCAGUUGGAACGGAUCGGGUACUGACAAGCACAUGCCGAUCCAACUGCGGCUCGUUAAAUUAAUUGGUAAUGUCAUUGUAUUUGUAAGUUCAACGAGACACACGAGAGAGAAGUUGCCUUGUAACCUGUGUUUUCACUCCCCUGGAGUUAACGCGGCCAAUGAGUUCUCACGGCAUGUUUGAUGGCAUCGACGAUGACGUAAUUCAACUAAUAAAUGCCCGUAGACAAGAA